rnacentral:rRNA from 1 species
UACGUAGGUGGCAAGCGUUGUCCGGAAUUACUGGGCGUAAAGCGUGCGCAGGCGGCGGCUCAAGUCAGGUGUGAAAUCCCCGGGCUUAACCUGGGAAUUGCGCUUGAAACUAGGUCGCUAGAGUGUGGCAGAGGGGGGGUGGAAUUCCACGUGUAGCAGUGAAAUGCGUAGAGAUGUGGAGGAACACCGAUGGCGAAGGCAGCCCCCUGGGUCAACACUGACGCUCAUGCACGAAAGCGUGGGGAGCAAACAGG